UACGGAGGGUGCAAGCGUUAUCCGGAUUCACUGGGUUUAAAGGGUGCGUAGGCGGGCAAUUAAGUCUGUGGUGAAAUCUCUGAGCUUAACUCGGAAACUGCCAUGGAUACUAUUUGUCUUGAAUGUUGUGGAGGUGAGCGGAAUAUGUCAUGUAGCGGUGAAAUGCUUAGAUAUGACAUAGAACACCAAUUGCGAAGGCAGCUCACUACACAAAUAUUGACGCUGAGGCACGAAAGCGUGGGGAUCAAACAGG
rnacentral:rRNA from 1 species